AGGAAUUGGCAGCAAUCUGCAGAGAAACAGAAGUGUAACUAUUCAGAUUCAGAUAUCAUUCUUGUACUCAGACACAGACACAGUAAAGACACAGAAGAUGGAGAUAGAAACAGAGAUUUCCCCUGGAGUAAAAGUGAAGGAAACUAUUAAUAUGAAUUAGUGAGUAUGAUGGAUUCUGUGCUAGAGAAACAUCAAAAUCAUGAUCUUGUUUCAGUGAUUUACAAAAGUAAGUCUGCAGAUAAAUAAAAGUGUUUCUUCUUAUACUCUAAUUGGAAAUUAAUUGAAAAUGUUUACAUACCCAAAAUUUUUCUUUUUUUCCUUGUGCUCCUCUGAGUAUUCCCCAUCUAGAUAAAGGAUGUUUCAAAAUAAAAAAAAAAAGAAAAGGAAGAACUGUCAGACUUCUUACAACUUAAUGAGCAGUAUGUAUCCUAAAAUAACAAGUUUUUGAAUUUUUCAAUUCUUUUUAAAGUCCUGUAUAACCAUAUGACCCUCUCCGUUCUCUUCCAAAGAUCUCCUCGUACUGAAUCUCAAAAAAUUAUUAUCUUUAUCAGAAUGAAUUAUUUCCAAAUUAAGGUCAAUUCACCAAAUAUUCAUUUACUAGCUAGAUGGCUCAUUACCUGGAGUCAGAAAGACUUGAGUUCAAAUAUGGAAUCAGACUUUCGUUAGUUGUCUGGACAAAUAAUUUAAGCAAUAUGACAUUUGGUAAAUCAAUAACAGCAUUGGAUUUGUUUUCUUUUUCAUAAAAUGAUUGUGCUCAAAUCAGCAACCUCCAAUAUCAUGUCCAUCUUUUAAUCUGUGAUCGUAAGAAGUCAUAUUUUCCCAUAUAAUUGGCAUGGCACAAUUCUUUAAUAAUAAACUUUAUAUUCAUAGAUGUUCUUGCAAAAAGGAAGAAUAUACAUA